UCUACGGGACGCAGCAGGCGCGAAAACUUUACAAUGCGGGAAACCGUGAUAAGGGGACACCGAGUGCUAGCAUCAUAUGCUGGCUGUCCAGGUGUGUAAAAUACACCUGUUAGCAAGGGCCGGGCAAGACCGGUGCCAGCAGCCGCGGUAAUA
rnacentral:rRNA from 1 species